GGACAUAUUAUUUGGAAUGCACCCCUAGUUUCCCACAAUGUGUACUGCACUGCACCUCACCUAUGAGCUUCCAGGUUCACUGCCCCCUGGUGGUUGGAUGGGGAAUAUUUGCUGCAAAAUUCUGGUAACAUUCCCAAAAUGUCCAGGUUUUCUAGAAAUCCUGAUAAAAAAAAGAUUCCCAGAUUUCCUGCUUAUUCCAGGAAUUCUUCCAAUUUGGAUUUCUGGAAAAACCUGGACAAUGUGGUAAAGUUACCCUACACCGUCCUACCUACCCUUUUUCUGUUCUGACUGCCUCAGACUAAUAACUUGAGUUGGAUCAAGAUAUUUUUUUAAACUCUUUCUUCCUCCCUUUUUUCUGUUGCAUGACAACCUCUAGUGAGGAUGGAUUGUUCUGUUUUGACCCGAAAUCGAUAACAAAUAUACCUUCUGUGUUUCAAACA